rnacentral:lncRNA from 1 species
GUUUAGGCCGGAAAUGGUCUAGUUCUCAGAGGUGGUCCGAUCCCUAACCAGUCCCAGGCCCAGCCCCAGCCCAGCACCACCUGGAAGGUUCAAGUACAUGGAGGAGAGGAGGCUUGGCGUAGACCGCGCACUGGAAGGCGUGCGCGCAGGUGUGCGUGACCAUGUGCUUGAAACGGCAGUAGCGCAGCGAGAAGGAUCGCCAUCACACGGCGCACUGGUGCGGCUUCUCCCCCGAGUGGAUGAACAUGUGCUUGGUGUCGUUUUUCCUUGAGCUGAACGUCUUGCAACAGUGGCCGCACGCAUAGCUGCCCCAGAUCCCGGAAGAAAAUCUCUCCCACACCACUGUAGUCAGAGAGGCCAGUGGGUGCAUGGAACUCCUCGCACGCGCUGUCAGCAGCAGCAGUGAGGAAGCCGGCAGCACAGUCUGGGAAGGAAGGAGGUGCUUGGCUCUCUCCCGGGCCGCCACCUUCGCCGUCCUCGCCAUCGGUCUCAUCGUCAGUUUCCUCGUCAUCGUUGUCACCUCGGUCGUCAGGGGCCGCGGACAGUGAGGGGCACCACCGAAGGCACACGGAUCUCAGAGGGGCCGAGCAGCAGCUUGUCUUGGAAGGAGGGCGAGCCGAUUGCCAGCCCGCAGCGGUGCGCACGCAGCGAAGCUUCAUGAAUGCACACAGUCACGUCGCAGAAGUGCCCACCCAGCUUCUGCCCAUUGAGGGUCUCAAGCAGAGAGCGUGAGAAGUUCUGCAGAUGUAUGUGGCGCACAGCCUCUACAGCCGCCGACUCCGACUCCUCUUCAGGCACCAGGCCUGGCCGUGGCCGCCUUCUCACCGACUCCAAGGCAGCACUUCCGGGCGCUUCUCUUUAUUUUUAUACAGUUUUAUUGAGAUAUAAUUUACAUGCUAUCCAGCCCAUCUAUUUCAAGUGUACCAUGCAAGGGGUUUGUAUAUAUUCACAGAGUUGUGUAUCCAUCACCAUCGUUUUAGAACAUUCAUCACUCCAGAAGAAACUACGUACCCAUCAGCAGCCACUGCCCAUUUCCCUGAUCUGCCCCGCCCUAGGAAAUCCGUAAUCACUUUCAGUCUAUGGAUUUGCCUAUUCUAGACCAUUCAUAUAAAUGAAGUCACACAACACUGGGUCUUAUGUGACUGGCUUCUAUCAAAGUUUGCAAGGUUCAUUUAUGUUCAUGGUCAUCACUGAUCAGAGGCCUAACCCAAGGAGGGGGUCAUGUGCAGACCCAGCUGUGGGGAGGAAAGAUGCUGCAGAGGAGACGGAUGCCCACAGAGGCCCCUGAGUGGAUACAAUGCUCACUAAGUGGGCUGACCCCACAUUGGACACCGCUGCAUCCAUGUCCAUCACACAACACAGCUGCCGUUUCUUCUGCCUGCUUAUGGGAAAGUCCCCUCUUCUCCUCCGUUUUCUUCUCUUCCUGCCCUAUCACACCGUGCACUUCUCCCUUUCCUUAAAGAACCACCAUCAACUUUAGGAGGAGGGAAAGGGGUGGCUCUGGCAGGAAAAGCCAGAAUCCCCUCUAGCCAGCAGAGAGAGAGAGGAAUGGCUGCAUGUUUUCUCCCCCAGUCCAAGGCACUGGGUCUUGGCUGGGUUGAAGGUUCCAAGCUGCUCUCCUGCUGUGUCGGUGAGUUCUGGUCAACCUGCAACCUCCUGAUAUGGCCAUUGCAGUUCAUCGAGUCUUCAGGGACUCCCCAUGGCCUGGAGUACUUUGCCUUGCUUACACGGGAGAGGAGAAUGGAUUUAUAGAGAACAUCAUCUAAAUCCAACUUGACCAUUGUGUGGCCACACUUGCUAGAUUGCUAUAGUCUAAAUCUAGCAUUGUAGAAAGACGGGGGAGCUUGGAGCUGCACAAACCCAGGUCUGGAACUGGCUCCUUACCUUGGAAGGUGAAUGAUCCUGCCAGGACUCUUAGCCUCCCUGGGUCUCAAUUUCUUUAUCUGUUUCAUGGGAAUGAGGAUCUCUGCUGGGUGGUUGGGUGAUGUGGGGGCUGUGUGAAAACAGCUUGUCAAUACAAGCCAAAAUAGAAAUAUUUCUCCACAGAGUAUGAAGGUCAAAUGAGAGAAUACAUUUAAAUUAAAUGGAAAAUUAAAAUGGUAAAAAAUGCAAAGCUGUAUUGAAAGUUCCGAGCUUCUCUAUAAGGAGCUUUUUGACUAUGGAAGAAUCCUGUACUCGUUCCCCCUAAAUAUAAAAAAAAAGUUGAAGGAGGCAGAAGGGAGAGUGAUGCACGAUGGGCAAGGACUUCACCUGCUGUUGCUGGCUUUGAGGAUGGAGGAAGGAGGCCACAAACCUAGAAGCUGGAGCCCCUAGAAGCUAGAAAAGGCAGGGACCCGAUUCUUUCCUUGAGCCUCCAGAAGGGACACAGCCCCGCCAGCACCUUGACUUUAGCCUGGUGAGAUCCUCUUAGGACUUUUGGCAAUCAGAACUAUAAGACAGAAAUGGAAGCCACUGAGUCUGUAGCUGUUUGUUGCAGCAGCAAUAGAAAACUAAUGCAGGGCCCAAGAAAUCACUGGUGAUGAGAUCGGGAAAGUGGGCUCAGGAGGUCUGGAUCUGUGAUGAGAUGGGGAAAGUGGGCUCAAGAGGUCUGGAUCUGUGGUGAGAUGGGGGAAGUGGGCUCAGGAGGUCUGGAUCUGUGAUGAGAUGGGGAAAGUGGGCUCAGGAGGUCUGGAUCUGUGAUGAGAUGGGGAAAGUGGGCUCAGGAGGUCUGGAUCUGUGAUGAGAUGGGGGAAGUGGGCUCAGGAGGUCUGGAUCUGUGAUGAGAUGGGGGAAGUGGGCUCAGGAGGUCUGGAUCUGUGAUGAGAUGGGGGAAGUGGGCUCAGGAGGUCUGGAUCUGUGAUGAGAUGGGGAAAGUGGGCUCAGGAGGUCUGGAUCUGUG